rnacentral:rRNA from 1 species
UACGGAGGGGGCUAGCGUUGUUCGGAAUUACUGGGCGUAAAGCGCACGUAGGCGGCUUUGCAAGUCAGAGGUGAAAGCCCGGGGCUCAACCCCGGAAUAGCCUUUGAGACUGCAUCGCUAGAAUUGUGGAGAGGUAAGUGGAAUUCCGAGUGUAGAGGUGAAAUUCGUAGAUAUUCGGAAGAACACCAGUGGCGAAGGCGACUUGCCAGAAUGCGCUCGACGGUGAGGGAUGAAAGCUGGGGGGAGCAAACCGG